rnacentral:lncRNA from 1 species
AUUGGAUAGCGAUGAAUGAAUAUAGGCAUCCACAAGAUUCCAAAUCAGUUGUUGGGUUUUCAGAAAACACAAAAUAACAACCAGACAAAUUCAGGCACAAAAAAGCUUGUAGUUGUGGCUCCACAAUCACGCAGUCCAGAUCAGCUCCCGUCCAUGUAAUCAAUAUAUGGUCCAACUAGAUGCCUCGUGACCUUUCUCACCCGACUAACAGCGAGUCAAGAUAUCUACACCGUCACUGUCACUGCACUUACCGCAUUCAGAAUUUUCAGAUCCACCUGUCCAUAACCUUCCCCAGGUCACUGCCACGGGCGUUCCCGCCACCACCAUAGCUCCAAUCGCCAUCAGUCCCUAAUAACCAAAUCACCAACCCAACAGCUCACAUCCGCCUAACAGGCCGAUAUCCUUCGUUUGAUAUUUUUCUUUUGUUUUUCUUUUAUUUAUUUUGAGUCUCCUAAUUAUUUUAUGUUUUAAUUUUUUUCUAAUUUUUUAAUUUUUCUAUUUCCUUGUCUUUAUGGUGUUUGUUUUCUGCUCCCGAGAUCUUUUAUAUAUGAUCGUAAAUGGUGUCGAUUCACAGUUUGGAUCAGAAUCGUAUCAGCGUUCAAAUGGAGAGAGUUUGCUUAUAUUGGAGUUGAUGAAUAAUUCUAAUGGUGGUGCAAUGAGAUUUCGAUGACCUGGCCAUGUCGCUGAUGGCAUGGGUUGAGGCCUCAUCGAGAGUCAGGCUGGGAAUACUUGAGAUGAAGUGGUUAUCAUUGCUGAGGUUUUGUAGUUUUUUAGUUCUGUUCUGCAGUUAAUUAGCAUUAUGUUGUGGUGUAUUCUAUUAUUUUUUAUAUUCUUAUUUUCUUAUCCCAUAUAUUGUGCAAUAUGGUCUUGUAUUUAUGUCUAUAAGAUAUUAUAUUGUUAGUCAUUAUUAAUCUUCAAUGAUUGUGUUUGUAUAAAUAUAUAUACAUAUAUAUAUAUAUAUAUAUAUAUAUGUAGCAAAUUCCAAGAAGGUUUUGACAAAAAAAAAAGUUGUUUGGUCCACUGAAAACUGUACCUGGCUGAGACAAAAUCCGCU